rfam:Aedes albopictus isolate Foshan contig123407, whole genome shotgun sequence.
GGCUCGGUAGCUUAGUUGGUAAAGCACUUGUCUAGCGAAUAAGGGCCGUGAGUUCAAAUCUCAUCUGAGCUG